AUCACCUCGUUAUCAGCCACCCUCACUCUCUGCCUCAGCUCCUGCUUGCGCAUCUCUUCUUUUGCCAACCUGUGGAGACGGCGGCACGUCACAGGCUCAAAAUUGACACCUAGACUUGGUUGGUCCAGUUUACACCAAAAAGCUCGGCGAGGACCUCGUCCUCCAAGUCUCCUCCUUGUCCGGGUCGCUCCUCCGAGUCCAGAAGCCCUUGAGCUAUCAGCUCCUCCUUGAUCCGCGCCUCCAGGGAACGUGUGUGAGGAACACUGGGAGCAAAGAAACCGGCAGGAAACUGUCACUACCAGGGGGUUUUAAGAAAAUUCCUCUAAGCUUUAGGAAUCGCAUGAAUCAUCAGAGCAGAAAACCUGGACCUGACCUCUACAAGGGCCUGAAGCAGACGCUGAGUGAGCGGACCAAAGGGACAACCGUCUUCUGGUGAUUCGUGCUGAGAUUCGGAUUUCUUCAGCAGCGAGUCGACAUCUACAUGGACGAACACAUGGCAUCCAGUUCUGACAGCGGCCCUCCCAUGAUGCUCUUCUUCUUGUCGUUGGCUCGUGCCCCUUCCCUCUGCUCCUCCAGCAGGUCUUCUUGAGCCCACCGCUGGGAAUAGUGUUUCCCCAACGCAGGAAUCUACAGCAAACAGAAUUAAGUGUUUUUGGAUUUGGGUCUGCCGGGUCCUGGGCCCGGCCCGUGCCCUCCCUUGCCGUCCAGUUUUUGCUUCUUGGGUUUGUGGCGGACUGGGGCUGCAGGAUCUGGGUCCUUGCUCGGCUUCAGAAAACGCUUGUCUCCCUUUUUGUCCUGCCAGUCUGUGAGGAUCUGAGGAGGAGCACGCCACAAUGAGGGCAAGGUGGGCCCGCAGGCGGCGGCUGGCUGAGGACAGCAGGGUCUCCAGCUCCAGCUGCAGGGUGUCCAGCUCCUCAAUGCCGAUGCCAUCGUCCUCUGAGCGGCCCAACACCGCAGUGUAGCGGGGACACAGCUUCACAUGCU